AUUAUGUAUGAGCCCAAAUUUUGCAGAACUAUGGCCCUUGCUCAUUUUUGUUUAGCUCCUCAGCUGAAAUCAUCAUCUAGCAGUCACAAUAGUUGAGCGGUUGGAGAGGCAUGCAUUGCGUCCUACUACUGCUCAGACUAUAUCAUGUUUGGCAGACAAAACAUGCUGAUCAAAAAGAAUGUGUACCACAGGGGCCAGUGUUUCCAUUUGAGUGAUUGACAAGGAGAAGAAGAGAUGAGAAAUUCUCUGGUUGCUUGAUGUGGCGACUGCAGAAGUGGCUCAGCAAAGCGUCUUCGUUGGAGCAAACAACCCUGCAUUCUGGACACCGAUUGUGCGCCUCCUUUAAAUAUAAAACUUUGUAAAACAUUUAUUUUUCAUCAUUUUAACCAAUAAAUACCUACUAAACAAGAACUUUGACAUUAACUUAGAUAAGAAAACAUAUAUAUUAUUUUCAAUUAAAUUGUUAAACAAGAGCUGUCUCCAUAGGAUGACGUAUGCCCCCAAUAAAUGCUUUGAUAGAAAUUAUGAGCAUUUUUCGAACCCUAAACGCGGACCCUAAGGUCAAGGUCAUGGGGUAAAAAUUUGUGUGGGUAUGGAAAGGCCUUGUCCAUAUACACAUGCAUAUCAAAUAUGAAUGUUACAUCUGAAGCGACAAAAGAAGUUAUGAGCAUUUUUCGAAACCUAAACACAAAGUGUGACGGACAGACAGACAUCAGACAAACAGACAGAAGGACAGUUCGAUCACUAUAUGCCCUCCUU